rnacentral:rRNA from 1 species
UACAGAGGGUGCGAGCGUUGUUCGGAAUUACUGGGCGUAAAGCGCGCGCAGGCGGCUCUUUAAGUCUGACGGUGAAAUGCCGGGGCUCAACCCCGUGCCCGCCGGAGAUACUGGGGAGCUGGAGACGAGUAGAGGCAAGCGGAAUUCCGGGUGUAGCGGUGGAAUGCGUAGAGAUCCGGAAGAACACCGGAGGCGAAGGCGGCUUGCUGGGCUCGGUCUGACGCUGAGGCGCGAAAGCGUGGGGAGCGAACAGG